rnacentral:misc_RNA from 1 species
UUUCCGUAGGUGAACCUGCGGAAGGAUCAUUAAAGUUAUAGUCCCCCGGCCCUCUGGGCUGGGGUCUUCUAUACCACCCUUUGUUUAUUACACCUUUGUUGCUUUGGCAGGCCUGCCCUCGGGCUGCUGGCUCCGGCCGGCUCGCGUCUGCCAGAGGACCUGAACUCUGUUUGUAUAUGAAGUCUGAGUACUAUAUAAUAGUUAAAACUUUCAACAACGGAUCCCUUGGUUCUG